ACACACACACACACACACACACACACACACACACAUAAAUAACCCUGAGUGAACAAUCCAGAGCUGCAACAAUGAACCAUCAGGUCGAUCCCUUCGCUGAUCAUCAGGUGUUUGGCCUGCUGCACCUUCUCCUGAGGCAUGAAGCGAGAGCGGCUGAGGAUCCAGGCGAAGUCGAUGUGGAACAGGCGGAGGACGUCAUUGCACGAGUACACGAUGGUGAAAUUGGUGUAGUCAGUGCUCAGAACCCAGUAUGGGCUGUAGGGAGUGACUGGGGGCAAAGGUCACAGAGAGAAAGAAGAUGAGGAGGUGAAGAGGAAAACAAAGAGGAGGAAGAAGAAAAGUUCUCACAGUACGAGAAGCUGACUCCGAGCUUGGCUGCUUCUCUCGGGUCCCGAACCACCGCUGUCCCUUCGCCUGUCCUCGUCUUGCCCUGACUGAGACACAGAGACAGAAGAAUGACGCCUUGUUGAACUGACAUCACUUCAUCC